rnacentral:rRNA from 1 species
GAGUGAAGCGAGACUGUGAAGUGGAGCAAAUCGCGAAAAGCCGUCUCAGUUCGGAUCGCAGGCUGCAACCCGCCUGCGUGAAGUUGGAAUUGCUAGUAAUCGCGGAUCAGCAAGCCGCGGUGAAUACGUUCCCGGGCCUUGUACACACCGCCCGUCACACCAUGAGAGUCGGGAACACCCGAAGUCCGUAGUCUAACCGCAAGGAGGGCGCGGCCGAAGGUGGGUUCGAUAAUUGGGGUGAAGUCGUAACAAGGUACC